AGUUUGAAGUCGAACAGUGACAAGUGGUGAAAAGAUUCCAGUGCUCCGACUUCGAAAGACAUCAAUUGGCAGAUAAAGUUUGAAAUCAAACGGUGACAAGUGGUGAAAAGAUUCCAGUGCUCCGACUUCGAAAGACAUCAAUUGGCAGAUAAAGGAAGGGAUAAAUACUUCUAUUUUCGAAAUUCAAUGGCAUGAGUGGCAAGGACUUUGCAUCAUCUUCAUGAUUUUGAAGUUACUUUUAUACCAGAAUAAAGAAAUAAUUGGCAGUUUCGGGUACAACGGUAUGGAGUGAAUUGUUAUUAAUUUUCCAUGGGUGGUGUAACGAUACACAAUCAAGGGAAACCGAAAAGCACACAAUGUGUAUAAUCUAUUUGCCUUGGAGACUGCCAGUAUGCGGUUGACAGAUCCUUUUCACGUUGCAAGAGGACAGGAUUCUGGUGGACCGCACUUCCCCCAGGAUGUUCAUGCGAUGCCAACACUGACAUCAAAGCGAUCCACUGUCGCGAAUUGAAAAUUAGUGUUAUCAUUUCAUUGCCCUUUGCAUUUUAUAUGUAAAAAGCUUUGUUUUCGAUAAUUCAAUACAAUGAUUUAUUAUUUCUCUUCUGGCAAAUUUCAUGAAAGCAUGUUGAACUAGCAUGGAAAUAUCGGUUUCUUUUUAAGUUUCUCUCUCGAGGAACAUUAGUUUAUAUGUUUAAUUGUAAAAAAUAUUGUGAAAAUUAGUGAUAAUUAAAUAUCUCUGAGCAAUAAAAGUACAAAA